UACGUAGGGGGCAAGCGUUGUCCGGAUUUACUGGGCGUAAAGAGCGUGUAGGCGGUUUGGUAGGUCCGCUGUGAAAACUCGAGGCUCAACCUCGAGACGCCGGUGGAAACCAUCAGGCUAGAGUCCGGAAGAGGAGAGUGGAAUUCCUGGUGUAGCGGUGAAAUGCGCAGAUAUCAGGAAGAACACCCGUGGCUAAGGCGGCUCUCUAGUACGGUACUGACGCUGAGACGCGAAAGCGUGGGGAGCGAACAGG
rnacentral:rRNA from 1 species